UACGUAGGUGGCAAGCGUUGUCCGGAUUUACUGGGUGUAAAGGGCGUGUAGGCGGGGAUGCAAGUCAGAUGUGAAAUCCCGCGGCUCAACCGCGGAACUGCAUCUGAAACUGCGUCUCUUGAGUGUCGGAAGGGAAAGUGGAAUUCCUAGUGUAGCGGUGAAAUGCGUAGAUAUUAGGAGGAACACCGGUGGCGAAGGCGACUUUCUGGACGAUAACUGACGCUGAGACGCGAAAGCGUGGUGAUCAAACAGGAUUAGAUACCCGUGUA
rnacentral:rRNA from 1 species